rnacentral:lncRNA from 1 species
AUGAUUCCUGCAUCUAGCCAUUUCACUACUUUUUUCUUUACCACCUCUGAUAUGUUUGGAUUCAGUCUCCAUUGUAUAUCCCUAUAUGGUUUGGCUUCUACCUCAUAGUAAAUAUGGUGUAUGCAGAUGGAGGGAUCAAUACCUUUUACAUCAGCAAUCAUCCAACCAAUGGCCUCUUUGUACUCUUUCAGUACAUCUAUGAGCUGGGCUUCCUGGUCAGUGGUUAAGUUAGAGGCAAUGAUUACUGAGAGGGUAUCAUUGGGUCAGAGAAAUAUAUACUUCAA